rnacentral:rRNA from 1 species
CCAGACUCCUACGGGAGGCAGCAGUGGGGAAUAUUGCACAAUGGGGGAAACCCUGAUGCAGCGACGCCGCGUGAGCGAUGAAGUAUUUCGGUAUGUAAAGCUCUAUCAGCAGGGAAGAAAAUGACGGUACCUGACUAAGAAGCCACGGCUAACUACGUGCCAGCAGCCGCGGUAAUACGUAGGUGGCAAGCGUUGUCCGGAAUGACUGGGCGUAAAGGGAGCGUAGGUUGUUGUUUAAGUUAAAUGUGAAAGCCCGUGGCUCAACUACGGAACUGCAUUUAAUACUGGACAACUAGAGUGCAGGAGGGGUAAGCGGAAUUCCUAGUGUAGCGGUGGAAUGCGUAGAUAUUAGGAAGAACACCAGAGGCGAAGGCGGCUUACUGGACUGUAACUGACACUGAGGCUCGAAAGCGUGGGGAGCAAACAGGAUUAGAUACCCGCGUACC